ACUGAACGCUGGCGGCAGGCCUAAUACAUGCAAGUCGAACGAGUGGCGCACGGGUGACUAAUGUCUGGGAAAUUGCCUGAUGGUCGGGGUCAAUUACUGGAAACGGUAGUUAAUACCGAAUACCAUUAGAUGUGACCAGAUGGGAUUAGCUGGUUGGUAGGGUAACGGCUCACCAAUGCGACGAUCCCUAGCGGGUCUGAGAGGGUGACCGUCGACACUGGAACUGAGACACGGUCCAGACUCCUACGAGAGGCAGCAGUUGGGAAUCUUGCGCAAUGGGCGCAAGCCUGAAGGAGCCAUGCCGCGUGUGUGAUGGAGGCCUUCGGGUUGUAAAGUGCUUUCAGCGGGGAGGCGGUACGCGCAAAGGAAACGCCGGCUAACUCCGUGCCAGCAGCCGCGGUAAUUC
rnacentral:rRNA from 1 species